rnacentral:rRNA from 1 species
UACGUAGGGACCAAGCGUUGUUCGGAUUUACUGGGCGUAAAGGGCGCGUAGGCGGCGCGGUAAGUCACUUGUGAAAUCUCUGAGCUUAACUCAGAACGGCCAAGUGAUACUGCAGUGCUAGAGUGUGGAAGGGGCAAUCGGAAUUCUUGGUGUAGCGGUGAAAUGCGUAGAUAUCAAGAGGAACACCUGAGGUGAAGACGGGUUGCUGGGCCAACACUGACGCUGAUGCGCGAAAGCCUGGGGAGCAAACGGG